AUAUUUUUUAGGCAAAAUACAGGAAACUGUAUGACGCAAAACUAUAGGGCCUGUGGGGUGGCAGCCAGUUGUUUAU
rnacentral:ncRNA from 1 species